AAGAUUUCAAGGGUCGAACAGACCCAUAAAUCAAGCUACUACACCUAACUAUUAUCUUAAUCCAACAUCGAGGUCGCAAGCCUUCCUGUAAAUUUGAACUCUGGAGGAAGAUUACGCUGUUAUCCCUAAGGUAACUUAUUCUAAUAAUCAAUAAUAAUGGAUCUAAAAACCAUAAAUAUAUGUAUUAUAAAUAAUAAAAGUUAAUUAUAUAUCUCUUGUCACCCCAACAAAAAAGCCAAAUUAAUAAUAUAAAAAAUUAAACAAUAAUAAUUAAUAAAAAUAAGCCUUAAAGCUCUAUAGGGUCUUCUCGUCCUUCAAAAAAAUUUGAGCCUUUUGACUCAAAAGUUAAAUUCAAUAUUAUAAAAUUGAGACAGAUAGUACUUCGUCAAACCUUUCAUUCCAGCCCCCUAUUAAAAGACUAAUGAUUAUGCUACCUUUGCACGGUCAAAAUACCGCGGCCGUUAAAAUAAAUUUCACCGGGCAGGUAUGACCUCAAUGAACCACAAGAGGAC
rnacentral:rRNA from 1 species